AUACGGCAAUAUCACGGUGAAACAUUGGUUCCCGUACGAUCACCGAAGUUAAGCAACGUCGAACCUGGUUAGUAUCUAGAUGGAUGACCGCUUAGGGAUACCUGGUGCUGUAGG